UGGGGAAUAUUGCACAAUGGGGGAAACCCUGAUGCAGCGACGCCGCGUGAACGAAGAAGGUAUUCGUAUCGUAAAGUUCUGUCCUAUGGGAAGAUAAUGACAGUACCAUAGAAGAAAGCUCCGGCUAAAUACGUGCCAGCAGCCGCGGUAAUACGAAUGGAGCGAGCGUUGUCCGGAAUUAUUGGGCGUAAAGGGUACGCAGGCGGUUUAAUAAGUCGAAUGUUAAAGAUCGGGGCUCAACCCCGUAAAGCAUUGGAAACUGAUAAACUUGAGUAGUGGAGAGGAAAGUGGAAUUCCUAGUGUAGUGGUGAAAUACGUAGAUAUUAGGAGGAAUACCAGUAGCGAAGGCGACUUUCUGGACACAAACUGACGCUGAGGUACGAAAGCGUGGGGAGCAAACAGG
rnacentral:rRNA from 1 species